rnacentral:rRNA from 1 species
AUUGAACGCUGGCGGCAUGCCUUACACAUGCAAGUCGAACGGUAACAGGUUAAGCUGACGAGUGGCGAACGGGUGAGUAAUACAUCGGAACGUGCCCAGACGUGGGGGACAGCUCGGCGAAAGCCGGAUUAAUACCGCAUAAGCUCUGAGGAGGAAAGCGGGGGACCGUAAGGCCUCGCGCGUUUGGAGCGGCCGAUGGCAGAUUAGGUAGUUGGUGGGGUAAAGGCUUACCAAGCCUACGAUCUGUAGCUGGUCUGAGAGGACGACCAGCCACACUGGGACUGAGACACGGCCCAGACUCCUACGGGAGGCAGCAGUGGGGAAUUUUGGACAAUGGGCGCAAGCCUGAUCCAGCAAUGCCGCGUGCAGGAUGAAGGCCUUCGGGUUGUAAACUGCUUUUGUACGGAACGAAAAGGCGCCUACUAAUACUGGGUGUUGAUGACGGUACCGUAAGAAUAAGCACCGGCUAACUACGUGCCAGCAGCCGCGGUAA